rnacentral:rRNA from 1 species
UGCCAGCCGCCGCGGUAAUACGAAAGGUGCAAGCGUUGUUCGGAAUUAUUGGGCGUAAAGAACAUGUAGGCGGACUAUUAAGUCUGAUGUGAAAGCCCAGAGCUCAACCCCGGAAGUGCAUUGGAUACUAAUAGUCUUGAGUAUGGGAGAAGAAAGUGGAAUUCCGAGUGUAGGAGUGAAAUCCGUAGAUAUUCGGAGGAACACCAGUGGCGAAGACGGCUUUCUGGACCAAUACUGACGCUGGGAUGCGAAAGCGUGGGGAGCGAACAGGAUUAGAUA